CCUAGAUACCACAAACUGUCUACCUUUGGUCUGCCACACAUUGUCUAUCUUCACAGUACUCAGGCUGCAAAGCAACAGGUUAGAGUCAAUAGCUUGGGAGCCCUGCAGUUGAGCAAAAGAAAGACUUAGCCCAUGAUUUUUGCCAAGACUCCAAGGGAAGACAAAGAAAAAGGGCUACCAUUCCUCAGGCAGAGCUCAACAGGAAAAGAAAGCAAUGUUCUCUAUAGAUGAGGGUCCAGGCAAACAUGAUGGUCCUUCAGAAAGGUAGCUACAGGCCUUUCCUGAACACAUUGGAGUUACCCGGGUUUGCCAGAUCACAAGGCUAAUUAGGUCCAAGCAGAAAGAAACUCAACAUUCUGAAGAAGCCUGGCGAGUCGCCUUAAGGUUCUGAAAAUUGAACUCAAUCCCCUGCUUGUGUGCAACAACAGCAGCAGCAGCAGCAACAACAACAAUGACAAUAAGAAAAAUAAUAUGCAAAGCCUAUAAGAAGUCACCUAACAUGGAAUACAAUAAGCCAGGAGAUCAACAGUAAAGAUGUUUUAGCAUCAAUGUUCUCUCUCCAAAAUCUGGAGCAUACUACAGCUGUCACAUGGUGCCCUAGCUCUGUAAGGAGGUCACACAGUAAAGAAUGCAUCUGCAAUCUGAUGGUCUCUUUUCCUUGAAGCAAUCUACAUAGUAGCUCAGCAAAAGUAACAAUUCCUGUUUCAUAGAUGAAGUGACUAUCACUAAUAAGAACUAUGAUAUCCAUGCACAUAAGAAUACUGGCAUAUUAGCAUCC